rnacentral:piRNA from 1 species
GGGGCUUGAGAGAUGGCUCAGAGGU